GUAGGUGAACCUGCGGAAGGAUCAUUAUCGUAGGGCUUCGGCCCUGUCGAGAUAGAACCCUUGCCUUUUUGAGUACCUUUCGUUUCCUCGGCAGCCUCGGCUGCCAAUGGGGACCCCAAAAAACACUUUGCAGUACCUGUAACAGUCUGAACAAACAAACAAAAAUUAAAACUUUCAACAACGGAUCUCUUGGUUCUG
rnacentral:misc_RNA from 1 species